UGAAGGUAUCUGGUUAAGAGACAAGAGUC
rnacentral:piRNA from 1 species